GGUUCGGCCCCAUGCAAUGCAGGUCGUGGGCAACGGGUCAGGGUGGAAACACAGCAGCCCACCUGCGGAUAUGCAUGUGCCGUGGCCAGCCGGACCGGC
rnacentral:SRP_RNA from 1 species